CCUACGGGUGGCUGCAGUGGGGAAUAUUGCACAAUGGGGGAAACCCUGAUGCAGCGACGCCGCGUGAGUGAAGAAGUAUUUCGGUAUGUAAAGCUCUAUCAGCAGGGAAGAAAAUGACGGUACCUGACUAAGAAGCCCCGGCUAACUACGUGCCAGCAGCCGCGGUAAUACGUAGGGGGCAAGCGUUAUCCGGAUUUACUGGGUGUAAAGGGAGCGUAGACGGCCCUGCAAGUCAGGAGUGAAAUCCCAUGGCUUAACCAUGGUACUGCUCUGGAAACUGUGGAGCUUGAGUGCAGGAGGGGGAAGCGGAAUUCCUAGUGUAGCGGUGGAAUGCGUAGAUAUUAGGAGGAACACCGGCGGCGAAGGCGGCUGGCUGGACCGUAACUGACGUUGAGGCUCGAAAGCGUGGGGAGCGAACAGGAUUAGAUACCCCUGUAGUC
rnacentral:rRNA from 1 species